ACCCGCUGAACUUAAGCAUAUCAAUAAGCGGAGGAAAAGAAACCAACAGGGAUUGCCUCAGUAACGGCGAGUGAAGCGGCAACAGCUCAAAUUUGAAAUCUGGCCUUUUGGUCCGAGUUGUAAUUUGUAGAGGAUGUUUCGAGCGUGGUCCGGUCUAAGUUCCUUGGAACAGGACGUCAUAGAGGGUGAGAAUCCCGUAUGCGACUGGGUGCCUAAGUUCAUGUGAAACUCCUUCGACGAGUCGAGUUGUUUGGGAAUGCAGCUCAAAAUGGGUGGUAAAUUUCAUCUAAAGCUAAAUAUUGGCCAGAGACCGAUAGCGCACAAGUAGAGUGAUCGAAAGAUGAAAAGCACUUUGGAAAGAGAGUUAAACAGUACGUGAAAUUGUUGAAAGGGAAGCGCUUGCAACCAGACUUGCAUGCAGUUGAUCAUCCGGCGUUUUCACCGGUGCACUCGAUUGUAUUCAGGCCAGCAUCGGUUUUGGUGGUUGGAAAAAAGCCUUGGGAAUGUAGCUUCUUUCGGGGAGUGUUAUAGCCCUCGGUAUAAUGCAGCCUACCGGGACCGAGGACCGCGCUUCGGCUAGGAUGCUGGCGUAAUGGUUGUAAGCGACCCGUCUUGAAACACGG
rnacentral:rRNA from 1 species